rnacentral:lncRNA from 1 species
AUCAGGUGGUCGGGAAUGAAUAUUGAAUAUUGCAAGGUAAGUUUUAAAGAUUCAAUUGAUACUUCCUAUAUUAAUUCUUAAGUUACGUUUUCUAUUCUUUCAAAUAUACGUAUGAUCUAAAUUCGUGAAAUUUGUAAAAGUUUAUUAUUUUAUGUUUCGUUCUGGGCUGGGACUCAAUAUUUAUUUAUCUUCAUUUAUGUUAUGUACCUGUUAUAGGACAAAAUAUUAUCUUUAUCUAUAAUGUCUUUGAUACCUACAAGGAUUUGUUUAGUACUAUACCAAUUCUAGGAGCUAUAUAUAUAUUACAUAUGUAGGACUCUAAAGUGCGAUGGUACUCUAAAGUGCGAUGGUCACGCUAAAGUGCGAUGGUAUACGCUAAAGUGCGACGGUGUCUCACGCUAAAGUACGAUGGAUGCCGAUUGUUUGCUAAAGUACGAUGGUAUAGCACGCUAAAGUGCGAUGGAACAAUGGGGUUAGCUUCGAGGGCUUGAAAAAUUAUUAAUAUAUUGAUAUUAAAAAAAAAGUAUUUUUGCAAAACUUAGUAUGCUAAGGUAUACCAUAGCAAGCGAUAGGCUUUAUCUUGUGGAGAGUUGUCUCAUUGGCAACCAUACCACAUCUUCUUUUUUUUUUAAACUUAUGCUUCACUGGUACGCUUAUGUGAUUGUUUCUAAAUUUAGAAGACUGACCACGUAAUAAUUGCUAAAUAUGUAAUUUAGAUGUCAGAAAAUAAUAUAUUUCCUGUAAAUGAUUUUUUAACAAUUCGGAGUACAUGUAGAUUGCUGUUCACACAGGUUUUUUUUUUUUUUUUAAUAUAAAUGUAAACACCUCCCCUUACAGUCGUCAGAUGCAAAUACAAAAUUUGGUCAUUGUCGGAAUAAGUAAAAUGUAUUUGUGGGAAGCUUUAAUUAAGAUGCGAGAGAAAGGCGGAGUUCGUUGAGCUCUAUUUUUUUUCGUAGCGAGUACAAAAACAUGUUAUAUUUUCCAACAAUGUACAAAUUGAUGUUUUAGUCGACAUUUUAUAAUUUACGCUUCAAAUUUUAUUUAACCGACGUAACUUUUCAAUAAAAUUGACAAUACUUUCAAUGGGAAGACCAACGUCAACAUUCUCAAUUUUAUCUUCUGGCAUGUUUAAAAAUAUUGUACAAAACGACUGUUAACGUCAUAAUUAAACUACGUUUUUUACGUCUAUACUUUGCGGACCAUCGGACUUUAGCGUAUAGAGAUAGAGCAAAAAUGUGGCUUGUACUUUGAUGCAUCGCCUUUAACCUUGUUUUAAAUUCUGUUUUUCUGUAUAAAAUAUGAUUUUAAUUAGUUGUAUCAAAACUUGUGUUUGUUCACAUUCCCCCCCCGAAAAAUAAAACACACAAAAAUUCUACCAAAAAAAAAUCAGAUGGCGUAGGUAUAACCAUUAACCAUUUAACAUAUUCUUUCAACCGAUUUUUUUCCUUUUUGUUAAAAGAAAAUAAGGAAAUGAAAAGUAUCUAAUGUAUAAAAUUGUACUGUGUCAUGCGAUUCCGUUUUGUGGUGUAAUAAUUUGAUAAUUAUAUUUUUUGUCUCAACAAUUUACAAGAAAUAUAUCAACAUAAUCCAACUAACACUACAAUUUAUAUGAUCAAUGGAAAUGACUGGCUUGUUUUAGUCAACAGUCAUGAUGAAUUAGAUUUAUCCUCUAACCAAAUAUGAUAAAUAGCUGCACGUUUCAAACAAACAAUUGAUGUUUGUAAAACCUAAAGAUAAUGUACUUUAUGUUUAAAGCAAAUCGAAAGUGAAUUUCUUGAUUUAAUAUAAACUUCAAUUGUCCUAUUUUACAAUUUCGAUUAUAUGACUAUGGGAACGGUUUCCAUUAGGGAAUAUAGACUGUUGAUUGAUUGAUUGAUUAUUGGUGUUUAACGCCACUUUCGCCACUCGGCUAACUUAUAGCGGUCAGUUUUUAUUGGUAAAGGAGACCGGAGUGCCCGGUUAUAACCAACGACCUCCGGCAGGCAAAAUAAAUUAAGCCAUGCAGGUUGAUGUUGGUGGUUGAUAGGUUGCUGUUGUUUUAAACUUUUACAUACAACUAUUGUUAUGACUAAUCUUUUUUUUAUAUUAAUUUUAAGCUUGUGUUUAAUGGCGACGUCUUUUCAAAACUGUGGUGUAUGUGAACUCCGUCACAUCACAAAUCCAUCCAUUGUCUGGUGUACAGAAUGUGACGAGGGACUAUGUACAGAAUGCCAGGAACAUCAUAGUUUAUCUAAGACAUCUAGGAGGCACAGUGUGAUACCGAUUACCGGUUACCAGAAAUUACCAACUAAUCUUCUGAAAGUUACUCAAUACUGUAGCAAACACAAUGAAAAGUAUCAAAUUUAUUGCCAGAGGCAUGAAAGUCCCUGCUGCAGCAAGUGUAUUGUUGAGGACCAUAAAGAUUGCCAGGAUGUCGUCCAUUUAGAUGACGUCAUUCAUAAUGUCAAAACCUCCAAUGCCCUACUCGAGAUAGAGGACACAUUAGUUGAAGCAGCAGAAAAUAUACAGAAAAUUCGUCAGCACCAACAGAACAAUCUGUCGACUUUAUAUGAAAAGAGAAAGG